ACGAAUUCGCAAAAAAAUUAUAUUGAUACAAUAGAAACAGGAACCAAUUGGAGGAUUUUAUUAGAGUAUCGAAUAAUGAGAAAUUGUUGAUAUUUGGUGACGUGUCCCUUGAAAAAGAGCUGCAUAUACCCGUAUUAUAUUUCAAUGGCUUUUAUUUACUUAUGUGACUUUUCUGGCCCUGUUGGAAGAUCGAAAUCAGCGGCAUUUCAGAGGAGGCAUGUGCCCCAGACCACUAUACUGAAACCCCAUGCAUUUGUUACGAAAUUAAUUUUUUACUCACCACCGAAGGAUGGGCAACACAUCAAAAUAUUCAUUUCCAACCCAA
rnacentral:sRNA from 1 species